rnacentral:rRNA from 1 species
AUUGAACGCUGGCGGCAGGCUUAACACAUGCAAGUCGAGCGGAGAGAGGUAGCUUGCUACCGAUCUUAGCGGCGGACGGGUGAGUAAUGCUUAGGAAUCUGCCUAUUAGUGGGGGACAACAUUUCGAAAGGAAUGCUAAUACCGCAUACGUCCUACGGGAGAAAGCAGGGGAUCUUCGGACCUUGCGCUAAUAGAUGAGCCUAAGUCGGAUUAGAUAGUUGGUGGGGUAAAGGCCUACCAAGGCGACGAUCUGUAGCGGGUCUGAGAGGAUGAUCCGCCACACUGGGACUGAGACACGGCCCAGACUCCUACGGGAGGCAGCAGUGGGGAAUAUUGGACAAUGGGCGGAAGCCUGAUCCAGCCAUGCCGCGUGUGUGAAGAAGGCCUUAUGGUUGUAAAGCACUUUAAGCGAGGAGGAGGCUACUUUAGUUAAUACCUAGAGAUAGUGGACGUUACUCGCAGAAUAAGCACCGGCUAACUCUGUGCCAGCCGCCGCCGUAAUAC